rnacentral:rRNA from 1 species
GGAUCAUGGCUCAGGAUGAACGCUGGCGGCGUGCUUAACACAUGCAAGUCGAACGAAGCACUUUUAAUUGAUUUCCUCGGAAUGAUUUUACUUGUGGCUGAGUGGCGGACGGGUGAGUAACGCGUGGGUAACCUGCCUCAUACAGGGGGAUAACAGUUAGAAAUGACUGCUAAUACCGCAUAAGCGCACGGUAUCGCAUGAUACAGUGUGAAAAACUCCGGUGGUAUGAGAUGGACCCGCGUCUGAUUAGCUAGUUGGUGGGGUAACGGCCUACCAAGGCGACGAUCAGUAGCCGACCUGAGAGGGUGACCGGCCACAUUGGGACUGAGACGCGGCCCAAACUCCUACGGGAGGCAGCAGUGGGGAAUAUUGCACAAUGGGGGAAACCCUGAUGCAGCGACGCCGCGUGAGUGAAGAAGUAUUUCGGUAUGUAAAGCUCUAUCAGCAGGGAAGAAAAUGACGGUACCUGACUAAGAAGCCCCGGUUAACUACGUG